rnacentral:rRNA from 1 species
AGAAUCAACGCUGGCGGCGUGCCUAACACAUGCAAGUCGAACGAGAAAGUGGAGCAAUCCAUGAGUAAAGUGGCGCACGGGUGAGUAACACGUGACUAACCUACCCUUGAGUGGGGGAUAACCUAGAGAAAUCUGGGCUAAUACCGCAUAAUACCUUCGGGUCAAAGGAGCAAUUCGCUUUAGGAGGGGGUCGCGGCCGAUUAGUUAGUUGGCGGGGUAAUGGCCCACCAAGACUGUGAUCGGUAUCCGGCCUGAGAGGGCGCACGGACACACUGGAACUGAAACACGGUCCAGACUCCUACGGGAGGCAGCAGUGGGGAAUUUUGCGCAAUGGGGGAAACCCUGACGCAGCAACGCCGCGUGGAGGAUGAAGUCCCUUGGGACGUAAACUCCUUUCGACCGGGAAGAUAAUGACGGUACCGGAAGAAGAAGCCCCGGCUAACUUCGUGCCAGCAGCCGC